rnacentral:lncRNA from 1 species
GAAGAACAAAACACGUGAACUCUAGGUUCCUUGGAAGGUUAUGUUUCUAGGAGCUCUUCUUGGAUUUGUCUGGCAGGCUUGGAAUCCAUCCAGGGGAUGCAUGGAGCCAGCUGAGGAUGACAUUGUGGUCCAGCUGAAUAUGUCUGCUACCAAAACAGUUCUUCAGAGUCACCUGGAAGCCUCACAGGGAGCUAAAUGCUGGACACCCACAGAAGCCCUUCCCAUCCUGCCUGCCUGGAGGUUUGUGAUGAGUGAAUAUCCCUGUACCCAUCUAAAAAGAAAAGAACCCUAAC